rnacentral:rRNA from 1 species
GCUUCGGCCUGCCGGCGAGUGGCGAACGGGUGAGUAAUGCAUCGGAACGUGCCCAUGUCGUGGGGGAUAACGUAUCGAAAGGUACGCUAAUACCGCAUACGUCCUGAGGGAGAAAGCGGGGGAUCGCAAGACCUCGCGCGAUUGGAGCGGCCGAUGUCGGAUUAGCUAGUAGGUGAGGUAAAGGCUCACCUAGGCGACGAUCCGUAGCGGGUCUGAGAGGAUGAUCCGCCACACUGGGACUGAGACACGGCCCAGACUCCUACGGGAGGCAGCAGUGGGGAAUUUUGGACAAUGGGGGCAACCCUGAUCCAGCCAUGCCGCGUGAGUGAAGAAGGCCUUCGGGUUGUAAAGCUCUUUCGGCCGGGAAGAAAUCGUGUUCUCUAACAUAGGACAUGGAUGACGGUACCGGACUAAGAAGCACCGGCUAACUACGUGCCAGC